UGAAUACGAGACGCUAAGGCGUCGAAGUAGUGUAUGUCAUACUUCCAAGAAAAGCUUGCACUGUCAUAGAUAAAAAACGCCUGUACCAUAACCGACACAGGUGGGUAGGUAGAGUAUACUAAGGGGCGCGAGAUAACUCUCUCUAAGGAACUCGGCAAAAUAACUCCGUAACUUCGGGAGAAGGAGUGCCUUAUUAUUAAGGCUGCAAUAACAAGAUCCAAGCAACUGUUUAUCAAAAACACAGGUCUCCGCUAAGUCGUAAGACGAUGUAUGGGGGCUGACGCCUGCCCAGUGCCAGAAGGUUAAAGAAGUUGGUUAGCAUUUGCGAAGCUGAUAACUGAAGCCCUGGUGAACGGCGGCCGUAACUAUAACGGUCCUAAGGUAGCGAAAUUCCUUGUCGGGUAAGUUCCGACCCGCACGAAAGGCGUAAUGAUUUGGAUACUGUCUCGGAGAGGGGCUCGGUGAAAUAGACUUGUCUGUGAAGAUGCGGACUACCUGCACCAGGACAGAAAGACCCUAUGAAGCUCUACUGUAACUUGAAAUUGAAAUUGGACUUUAUUCGCGCAGCAUAGGUGGGAGGCGUUGAUUAUAAUCUUGUGGGAUUAUUGGAGCCAUCAGUGAGAUACCACUCUUGUAAUGUUAGAUUUCUAACUUUGAAUCAUUAUCUGGUCAAAGAACAGUUUCAGGCGGGCAGUUUGACUGGGGCGGUCGCCUCCUAAACGGUAACGGAGGCGUACAAAGGUUUCCUCUGAACGGUUAGAAAUCGUAUCUAGAGUGUAAAGGCAUAAGGAAGCUUGACUGUGAGACCUACAAGUCGAGCAGGGACGAAAGUCGGUCUUAGUGAUCUGACGGUACUGAGUGGAAAGGCCGUCACUCAACGGAUAAAAGUUACUCUAAGGAUAACAGGCUGAUCUCCCCCAAGAGUUCACAUCGACGGGGAGGUUUGGCACCUCGAUGUCGGCUCAUCGCAUCCUGGGGCGGUAGUACGUCCCAAGGGUUGGGCUGUUCGCCCAUGAAAGCGGUACGCGAGCUGGGUUCAGAACGUCGUGAGACAGUUCGGUCCAUAUCCGGUGUAGGCGUUAGAAUAUUGAGAGGAGCCUUCUUUAGUACGAGAGGACCGAGAAGGACAUACCUCUGGUGUACCAGUUAUCGUGCCAACGGUAAACGCUGGGUAGCUAUGUAUGGAGUGGAUAACCGCUGAAAGCAUCUAAGUGGGAAGCCCACCUCAAGAUAAGUA
rnacentral:rRNA from 1 species